rnacentral:rRNA from 1 species
CGCUGGCGGCAGGCCUAACCAUGCAAGUCGAACGGUAGCACAGAGAGCUUGCUCUCGGGUGACGAGUGGCGGACGGGUGAGUAAUGUCUGGGAAACUGCCUGAUGGAGGGGGAUAACUACUGGAAACGGUAGCUAAUACCGCAUAACGUCGCAAGACCAAAGAGGGGGACCUUCGGGCCUCUUGCCAUCAGAUGUGCCCAGAUGGGAUUAGCUAGUAGGUGGGGUAAUGGCUCACCUAGGCGACGAUCCCUAGCUGGUCUGAGAGGAUGACCAGCCACACUGGAACUGAGACACGGUCCAGACUCCUACGGGAGGCAGCAGUGGGGAAUAUUGCACAAUGGGCGCAAGCCUGAUGCAGCCAUGCCGCGUGUAUGAAGAAGGCCUUCGGGUUGUAAAGUACUUUCAGCGGGGAGGAAGGUGUUGUGGUUAAUAACCACAGCAAUUGACGUUACCCGCAGAAGAAGCACCGGCUAACUCCGUGCCACAGCCG